rnacentral:rRNA from 1 species
GUGCAACCUACCUUUAUCUGGGGGAUAGCCUUUCGAAAGGAAGAUUAAUACCCCAUAAUAUAUUUAGUGGCAUCAUUAGAUAUUGAAAACUCCGGUGGAUAGAGAUGGGCACGCGCAAGAUUAGAUAGUUGGUGAGGUAACGGCUCACCAAGUCUGUGAUCUUUAGGGGGCCUGAGAGGGUGAUCCCCCACACUGGUACUGAGACACGGACCAGACUCCUACGGGAGGCAGCAGUGAGGAAUAUUGGACAAUGGGUGAGAGCCUGAUCCAGCCAUCCCGCGUGAAGGACGACGGCCCUACGGGUUGUAAACUUCUUUUGUAUAGGAAUAAACCUAGAUACGUGUAUCUAGCUGAAGGUACUAUACGAAUAAGCACCGGCUAACUCCGUGCCAGCAGCCGCGGUAAUACGGAGGGUGCAAGCGUUAUCCGGAUUUAUUGGGUUUAAAGGGUCCGUAGGCGGACCUGUAAGUCAGUGGUGAAAUCUCGCAGCUUAACUGUGAAACUGCCAUUGAUACUGCAGGUCUUGAGUAAAUUAGAGGUAGCUGGAAUAAGUAGUGUAGCGGUGAAAUGCAUAGAUAUUACUUAGAACACCAAUUGCGAAGGCAGGUUACCAUGAUUUAACUGACGCUGAGGGACGAAAGCGUGGGGAGCGAACAGGAUUAGAUACCCUGGUAGUCCACGCCGUAAACGAUGCUAACUCGUUUUUGGGGCGCAAGCUUCAGAGACCAAGCGAAAGUGAUAAGUUAGCCACCUGGGGAGUACGUUCGCAAGAAUGAAACUCAAAGGAAUUGACGGGGGCCCGCACAAGCGGUGGAUUAUGUGGUUUAAUUCGAUGAUACGCGAGGAACCUUACCAAGGCUUAAAUGGGAAAUGACCGGUUUAGAAAUAGACCUUUCGCAAGACAUUUUUCAAGGUGCUGCAUGGUUGUCGUCAGCUCGUGCCGUGAGGUGUUAGGUUAAGUCCUGCAACGAGCGCAACCCCUGUCACUAGUUGCUACCAUUAAGUUGAGGACUCUAGUGAGACUGCCUACGCAAGUA